AUAUGCAAGACAAUAUUCAAGAACCUAUGUAUAUGGUUACCGCAUAAUUCAUCCCUUUGAUCUCAAAUGCUCAAGGAUGAUCUAAGGUUUUACUAUUAACCCUGGAUGAGUCAUCCACAUUGUAUUUCAACCUUUCACAUCCAUCGCAUGGAUUAUCCAGGGCCAAGGUUUACUAAAUUAAAAUAUAGUGAUGCAUUAACUUCUAUAAUCCAAAG
rnacentral:lncRNA from 1 species